rnacentral:lncRNA from 1 species
GUUAUUUGUUCAGGUCGGUAUGUUCUGGCUGGUUUGUACCGGGUGCUGUUUAUCACCCAUGCUUUGUGUAAACCGUUCUUUUUGCACUUGUAAAUGGUUUACUUUGUGCUGUCGCGUAAAUUGCGUUGUUUCACUCAUCUCUGCUCUCCUGCGCCUGACUUUAUACACCAGCUACACCCACCAACCUGACAGGGAUCAGGCGGCACAUGCAAUCAAUGAUCACUUUCGCUACAACAGAACAGAAAUGUCUGCCAGGCUACGGGUCCUAUUGGAGGGCUCUGAUAUCCGUAAGCUAACAUUGCCUUCUGGAAUCCCUGCUACUGUGGCUGUGCUUGGCACAAUUGUGCAAGAGACAUUUCGGCUUAAAAAAUAAUUUGUUCUACAGUAGGUGGACAGUGAAUUUGGAGAUCAGUAAUUUUAUUUGCUUGAUACUGAAGACCUAAAGGAUAAAGACACCAUCAAAGUGGUUGACCUUGACGGCCCACCUCUUAUUACUUUACAUGUACAAGAACUCAAUAACAGCUCCAUCGGAUGAGGGGCUCCCUUGGAUCACGUGACACUGUGAUAUUGUCCUCUCCAGAAAGUACCUCUUCCCAACGCUCCAGUCCAUGGCCAUCUGAGUUUGAAGUUCCUCGCUUUGCUUAUGAUACAGAGCUCAUUCUUGAGGCAACUAAUGAAGCACACAUGAAGGAUGGAACACUACUCAACAAUCUGCCUGUGAAAUCAGACAUCCUGGAAAAACAACUGUCUGAAAGGAUCUUCCAGUUUACAGCCUAUCCGUCAAGUCUACAAAUUUGGUAGGUUGCAGAAGUUUGAUAAAAAAGUACCCAUGUCUUAAGAGCCUGGAUCCUUCUCAGGCCUGUACGGAUGGCAAACCAGUCUGAAGUACAAGAUGGGCAAUUACAGAUCGAAACUGAGAGGAAUUGGUUGCCCAGAACUGGAAGUGAACUCUGUCAAGAGAAUAUCACCAUAGGACUGGCCCGUUGCCAAGAACAUAAAAAAAACUAAGAAGGUGGAGGUGAAUUACCCCCCACCCUGCUGGAGAAACAGAUGAGACCCUGGAGAGGGAGCGAGUGGAGCUACUGGGAGAAGUACAAAUACGUGACAACCACAACAUUGUGAGUGCCAAAAUGGCGAAGACAAGAUGUCGUUCAGGCCUUUCCUGUGAAGGACUUCAAAGAUAGAUGGCCAGCCCUGUUUGAGCCCACUCAGAUUAAGGAAAUUCAGAAGAAUUACAACUGUUGCUCUUGAGUCCACCUUUCUGCAGAAGCUGGAUGAAUUUACACCAAAACUAUUGGACUUGUUUAAGUCAAAAGGAGGUGCUGUAAAGACAGACAUGCAGAAAAUACUUGAAGUUCUGCACGGGUGCAACACCAUCCAGGAAAGAAGAGACAGUGUGACCCGUGGCCUGAUCAUAUACCUCGGCGAGAGGGUUGAAGAUUACAGAAUACAAGGUAAAGGUUUUUAUUUUUGUAUCCUUAUUUAUCUCUAAAUGAGAUCUUCCCUCUCUCUCCUCUCAAAUUGCACAGUUAAUGUAAUAGCCUAGUCUGUUAUUUCUUCUUUUUUUUUUUACUCCGGAUGCUGACGACACCAUGAUCCGAGAGGACCUCGUUCAGCAUGUGAUGAAUAUGUUCACUAUGAAGCAUCUGCACCAGAAUAUAGAGCAUGGGAUCUGCAUCGAAGGAGCAGAGGUCCUGGCUGGUAUUCCCAGUGUUACACAGGCAUGUACCUUGCUUAUGGGCCUCCUCUAUGGCAUAAAUCUAAGGUACCCUAAAGAACUGAAAUAUACCUUUGAGGUGUUCCAAAAAGUAUUCUUGGAACUUGAUGAUCUCAGGACCUCCCGACAGGUCCAUGCUCUAAAGAUGAAGUUACUUGUUUUCAGAGAUAUCUAAAGAUAUCUAUGAGAACUGUCAAAGGGCCACUCACAAACUGUGGUCUAAACCCUACUCAGUAAGCUGAAAAGCUAGUUGCUAGGUGGUAUAGGAGCUACAGUUUACAUUGUGCUCUUUGUCAGGUAAAGUCAUAAGAGACAUUGCCAAAUCCUGUUUUAAAAAAACAGCUUUGUUUUAAAACUUAGGCCAUAUGCACUAGUGGAUAUCUGAGAUUAUUUGUCAGGUGCAAGCUAUCUGGAUGUAACUUUACCUAAGGAGGCAAGGUGGAGUUAUACCCAGAAUGCUUAUACCUGUCAAAAUAAUAUGUCCAUAUGGGCUUCACUAGUGCAUAUGGAGUCAGGUUUAAGGGAGAAUUUAGCAUAUAUUUUGUAACAAUAUGUGUAAUGUAUGUUUUGAAAACCCAUGUUUUGAUUAAUCUGAAACAGUUUGAAUGAGGUUGUAUUUGAGCUAAAGUUCAUAUUGUGCUUUGUGUAAAGUCUAUUAAGAUAAAUCGUUCAUUUACAUUUCUGUUAAAAUAUUGUUUUGUUGUUAAGGGGCACACAGACCACCAGAGAAUUCUUGCCAGACUGCACAAGAUGUGAGGUCAAAGUGCCAAUCCCAAACUAUCACCUAAACCUUAUGCAUUUGUGAAGAUCUAAAAGUAUUUGUAGUCAGGUGCAGCUAUCUGGAUGUAACUUUACCUAAGGAGGCAAGGUGGAAUUAUACCCAGAAUGAUUACAGAUUACAAAAUAUGAUUGCCUAAAGAGUAGGG